rnacentral:tRNA from 1 species
GUCUCCGUGGCUCAACUGGAUAGAGCAAUCGCCUCCUAAGCGAUAGGUUGCGAGUUCGAUUCUCGCCGGGGACAUCA